GAUGGAUGGAUGGAUGGAUGAUGCCGUCUCAGCCAGACCUCAGACCUUGAGUCCCGUCCAACCGCCUGCUUCCUGCUGACCUUUGAACUGUUGCGCUGCAGCAUGGUGGGUUGGAUCGUCAGCGGGAUCGGCCGCAUGCUGCCGCAGCCCGUCCCCCGGCCGGAAACAGGAAGUGAUGACAUGCAGAGCAGGGGGAAGUCGCCUGAGCCCCUAAAAUAAAAGGAGCAGCAGCAGGAUAGAGUCGCUGUCACUGACAGCAGCACACAGCCGGCGGACUGACGCCAUCAGUCCUGUAGCUCACAGGAAGCUUUCGCUGCUUCGGGCUUAACGAGCUUAACGAGCUUUAGCUUCACCUGCCUGAAGAGAAGGAGUCUGUGUUCAGAACCAGGACCGUUCAGGAGGUUCAGCCCAAUGUUCCUCUGGAGGAUCGGUUAGGACUGGCAGCAGGGGAGCUGGUUUCAGUCCMGCUUCACACUGGCAGCUCUGGAUGUUCACUUCUCCACUUCAGCAGCAAACUCACCGCGAGCGAUGCAGGAAAAUAAAGAUUUGAUCUGGAAAACA